UUUAACCUGUCUACUUCUCAAGAACUGAUAACCUGCGGGAGGGGUAUAUUUGUGUCCUCCUGCCUACAGGUCCAUGGCGACUGCCUGCAAAGUUUGUCAAGCCUUGCCAUGAGCUGGACAGGCGAGAGGAGGAGCCUGAUGCCUCAGCUACAGGAUCUGACCGUGAAUACCCCAAGCAGAAUGAGAUAGAGGAAGAAAAAAAUGAAUGAUUGCAAAACAUCACUUGGGGGCAACUGAAAAGUAACAGCUUGAAUAUAUGUGUGCUUGUAAAGCAGCUAUUAUUAGAGGCUGUGAUUUUGUGUAUAAAACAACCUGUAUUUACUAGCCAGUUGCUAAUAAGAA